GAGGAAUAUUGGGCAAUGCCCGAAAGGGUGACCCAGCAACGCCGCGUGAAGGAUGGAGGCCGUAAGGUUGUAAACUUCUUUUGUAUGGGACGAAAAAGCUUGUUGAUAGCAAGCAUUGACGGUACCUUAAGAAAAAGCCCCGGCUAACUACGUGCCAGCAGCCGCGGUAAUACGUAGGGGGCAAGCGUUGUCCGGAUUUACUGGGUGUAAAGGGCGCGUAGGCGGGUUUGUAAGUCAGCGGUGAAAUCCUAUAGCUUAACUAUAGAACUGCCGUUGAUACUGCAAGUCUUGAGUUUGGAAGAGAGUAGCGGAAUUCCAGGUGUAGUAGUGAAAUACGUAGAUAUCUGGAAGAACACCAGUGGCGAAGGCGGCUACUUGGUCCAUAACUGACGCUGAGGCGCGAAAGCGUGGGGAGCAAAC
rnacentral:rRNA from 1 species